AUUGAACGCUGGCGGCAGGUCUAACACAUGCAAGUCGAACGGAGUGGCGGACUGGUGAGUAAUGUCUGGGAAACUUCCUGAUGGAGGGGGAUAACGUCCGGACACGGGCGCUAAUACCGCAUACUAUCAGAUGAGCCUAGGUCGGAUUAGCUAGUUGUUGGGGUAAAGGCUUACAAAGGCGACGAUCCGUAACUGGUCUGAGAGGAUGAUCAGUCACACGGGGACUGAGACACGGCCCAGACUCCUACGGGAGGCAGCAGUGGGGAAUAUUGGACAAUGGGCGAUAGCCUGAUCCAGCCAUGCCGCGUGUGUGAAGAAGGUCUUCGGAUUGUAAAGCACUUUAAGUUGGGAGGCGUUACCAACAGAAUAAGCACCGGCUAACUUCGUGACAGCAGCCGCGGUAAUUC
rnacentral:rRNA from 1 species